rnacentral:rRNA from 1 species
GAAAAGAAACCAACAGGGAUUGCCUUAGUAACGGCGAGUGAAGCGGCAAAAGCUCAAAUUUGAAAUCUAGCACUUUCAGUGUUCGAGUUGUAAUUUGAAGAAGGUAACUUUGGAGUUGGCUCUUGUCUAUGUUCCUUGGAACAGGACGUCACAGAGGGUGAGAAUCCCGUGCGAUGAGAUGUCCAACUCUAUGUAAAGUGCUUUCGAAGAGUCGAGUUGUUUGGGAAUGCAGCUCUAAGUGGGUGGUAAAUUCCAUCUAAAGCUAAAUAUUGGCGAGAGACCGAUAGCGAACAAGUACAGUGAUGGAAAGAUGAAAAGAACUUUGAAAAGAGAGUGAAAAAGUACGUGAAAUUGUUGAAAGGGAAGGGCUUGAGAUCAGACUUGGUAUUUUGCGUUCCCUUCCUUUUUGGUUGGGUUCCUCGCAGUUUACUGGGCCAGCAUCGGUUUGGAUGGUAGGAUAAUGACAUUGGAAUGUAGCUUUACUUCGGUGAAGUGUUAUAGACUUUGUUGAUACUGCCUAUCUAGACCGAGGACUGCGUCUUGACUAG